CCUACGGGGGGCAGCAGUGGGGAAUAUUGGACAAUGGGGGCAACCCUGAUCCAGCAAUUCUGUGUGCACGAAGAAGGUUUUCGGAUUGUAAAGUGCUUUCAGCAGGGAAGAAGAAAGUGACGGUACCUGCAGAAGAAGCGACGGCUAAAUACGUGCCAGCAGCCGCGGUAAUACGUAUGUCGCAAGCGUUAUCCGGAAUUAUUGGGCAUAAAGGGCAUCUAGGCGGCCAGAUAAGUCUGGGGUGAAAACUUGCGGCUCAACCGCAAGCCUGCCCUGGAAACUAUGUGGCUAGAGUACUGGAGAGGUGGACGGAACUGCACGAGUAGAGGUGAAAUUCGUAGAUAUGUGCAGGAAUGCCGAUGAUGAAGAUAGUUCACUGGACGGUAACUGACGCUGAAGUGCGAAAGCUAGGGGAGCAAACAGGAUUAGAUACCCCUGUAGUC
rnacentral:rRNA from 1 species